GUAGCAUACCGCUGACGACCGGCGCACGGGUGAGUAACACGUAUCCAACCUUCCCCCUCUCGGGGAUAGCCUUUCGAAAGAAAGAUUAAUACCCGAUAUUACUUUUUUGAGGCAUCUUAAGAAAGUUAAAGAUUUAUUGGUGAUGGAUGGGGAUGCGUUCCAUUAGAUUGUUGGUGAGGUAACGGCUCACCAAGUCUUCGAUGGAUAGGGGUUCUGAGAGGAAGGUCCCCCACAUUGGAACUGAGACACGGUCCAAACUCCUACGGGAGGCAGCAGUGAGGAAUAUUGGUCAAUGGACGAGAGUCUGAACCAGCCAAGUAGCGUGAAGGAUGACUGCCCUAUGGGUUGUAAACUUCUUUUAUAAGGGAAUAAAGUGAGGGACGUGUCCCUUUUUGUAUGUACCUUAUGAAUAAGGAUCGGCUAACUCCGUGCCAGCAGCCGCGGUAAUACGGAGGAUCCGAGCGUUAUCCGGAUUUAUUGGGUUUAAAGGGAGCGUAGGUUGACGUAUAAGUCAGCUGUGAAAGUUUACGGCUCAACCGUGAAAUUGCAGUUGAUACUGUAUGCCUUGAGUGUACAAGAGGUGGGCGGAAUUCGUGGUGUAGCGGUGAAAUGCUUAGAUAUCACGAAGAACUCCGAUUG
rnacentral:rRNA from 1 species